rnacentral:rRNA from 1 species
CCCUUAGAUGUUCUGGGCCGCACGCGCGCUACACUGAUGCAUUCAACGAGUCUAAAACCUGGUCUGAGAGGGCUGGGUAAUCUUUUGAAAGUGCAUCGUGAUUGGGAUAGAUGAUUGCAAUUCUUCAUCUUCAACGAGGAAUGCCUAGUAAACGCAAGUCAUCAGCUUGCAUUGAUUACGUCCCUGCCCUUUGUACACACCGCCCGUCGCUCCUACCGAUUGAACGAUCCGAUGAAAACUGUGGAUUGAGAGUCUGAGUGGGUUCGCCUACCUCAACUUUCGAGAAGCGGUUUAAACCUUAUCGUUUAGAGGAAGGAGAAGUCGUAACA